CAAAACUCAGGGCAUACUGAACUAACCAGAAGUCCUAUCCACCUGGACCAGCUUCUGCAGAAGCAAGAUAGACUAUGAAGAGAGCUCCUCAUCCUGACCCAUGGAACCAAUGGAUGAUGUGCUCGCAGCUGACAACUUCUUCUCAUUCUUGGUGCCCUUUGAUGAAGCGUCUGUGAUGCUGAAUUCUGCCACAGAACUCAUAACUAUACCUUUCAUGGGCUUCUCAUCUGUGUGUUUUUCAUUUGUACUUUUGAUCCCUGACACAUAUCAAGGUAAAGGCAAGAAAGUGAAGCAUGGACGAGACUGCAACAUGUCUUGUAGUAUUCUUGCAGCUGAAAGGAGGAAAUGUGGAUAGGAUGGGUGGAUUGCAAGAUCUCAGCUGUUGGAAGAGCUACAGAAUAAAUACACGGUAGUGCUGACAUUCGGUGCUGUUUCAUCUCAGCCAAAGAGUUUUUAAUAAAGAAAAUUCCUUUUCAAGGAAUGCUUUCUGCAGCCAGUCUUCCAAAGGAAAAAAAAGGAAAGAAAGAAAGA